rnacentral:rRNA from 1 species
UAGGGAAUCUUCGGCAAUGGGGGGAACCCUGACCGAGCAACGCCUCGUGUGUGAAGAAGGUUUUCGGAUCGUAAAGCUCUGUUGUUAAGGAAGAACGAGUGUGAGAAUGGAAAGUUCAUGCUGUGACGGUACUUAACCAGAAAGGGACGGCUAACUACGUGCCAUCAGCCGCGGUAAUACGUAGUUCCCGAGCGUUGUCCGGAUUUAUUGGGCGUAAAGCGAGCGCAGGCGGUUAGAAAAGUCUGAAGUGAAAGGCAGUGGCUCAACCAUUGUAGGCUUUGGAAACUGUUUAACUUGAGUGCAGAAGGGGAGAGUGGAAUUCCAUGUGUAGCGGUGAAAUGCGUAGAUAUAUGGAAGAACACCAGUGGCGAAAGCGGCUCUCUGGUCUGUGACUGACGCUGAGGCUCGAAAGCGUGGGGAGCGAACAGG